GACCCGGAACUCCUUCACCCGAUACAAAAGCACGACUUUGAGCGCGAUGUAACAAGUCGGGUUUGUCACCACGAAGCAUACCAUUGGUAGCUGGGUUGGAAAAAACUGGAUGCAAGCUGGUGGGUUUAGGAGUUCCAGGUAGACCUUCUGCAGGCUCGGGAAAUUCUACAUCGACAAAGUCAACUUUGAGCUUUUGCUCACUUUUGACACCAACUAUUAAUGGAGAACCACGACGAGUUGCGACCACUUCACCAGGGUAGUGACUGCUUUUAAUGAGUAAAGCGUAGGCACCUUCAAGUUCACGAAAGACGAGUUUAGCGAGUGAUGUGAAGUCAACUCCUGGAGUAGUGUCGUAAAUAAAUUUAGCGAGCUUAGCCACACAUUCAGUAUCGGUUUCGCUUUCAAAAACCAUGCCUCUCGAUUCAAGAACGGUGCGUAGCUCACGAUAGUUGGUUAAAAUACCGUUAUGAACGACUAUGAAUUCACUAUGAGGGUCAGACCGCUGGGGAUGACAAUUAAUGGGAGAAGGGAUGCCAUGAGUUGCCCAACGGGUGUGACUAAUGGCGCAAUGGUUGAUAAAUUUAGUGGAUUUAUUCACGUUCGAUCCUUUUAUAGAUGCCUCUAAUUUACUAACAUUGCCAACUUCUUUGAACAUGAUGAAGUCUUCACCUUCAUCUCCAUCGACAGCACAUCCUGAAGAAUCAUAACCCCGAUAUUCCAGACGUUUGAGACCUAAACCUGAAUUAGUAAAAUGAGUUUUAAUUUGUUUAUACUUUUGUUUAAUAAGUAAACAGAAAAUUGAAGUAGCAGAUAGAUUAAAUGUCAUGAGAGAGAACACAUCACAAACAAAGCGUAAUCACUGUGAUCGAAAGCA